GACGAACGCUGGCGGCGUGCUUAACACAUGCAAGUCGAACGGAAAGGCCCUGCUUUUGUGGGGUGCUCGAGUGGCGAACGGGUGAGUAACACGUGAGUAACCUGCCCUUGACUUUGGGAUAACUUCAGGCAACUGGGGCUAAUACCGGCUAGGAGCUCCUGCUGCAUGGUGGGGGUUGGACAGUUUCGGCGGUUGGGGAUGGACUCGCGGCUUAUCAGCUUGUUGGUGGGGUAGUGGCUUACCAAGGCUUUGACGGGUAGCCGGCCUGAGAGGGUGACCGGCCACAUUGGGACUGAGAUACGGCCCAGACUCCUACGGGAGGCAGCAGGGGGGAAUAUUGCACAAUGGGCGGAAGCCUGAUGCAGCAACGCCGCGUGCGGGAUGACGGCCUUCGGGUUGUAAACCGCUUUCGCCUGUGACGAAGCGUGAGUGACGGUAAUGGGUAAAGAAGCACCGGCUAACUACGUG
rnacentral:rRNA from 1 species